GAUGAACGCUGGCGGCGUGCCUAAUACAUGCAAGUCGAGCGAACGGACGAGAAGCUUGCUUCUCUGAUGUUAGCGGCGGACGGGUGAGUAACACGUGGAUAACCUACCUAUAAGACUGGGAUAACUUCGGGAAACCGGAGCUAAUACCGGAUAAUAUUUUGAACCGCAUGGUUCAAAAGUGAAAGACGGUCUUGCUGUCACUUAUAGAUGGAUCCGCGCUGCAUUAGCUAGUUGGUAAGGUAACGGCUUACCAAGGCAACGAUGCAUAGCCGACCUGAGAGGGGGGAUGGGCCCCACUGGACCGAAGACACGUUCCAGCCCCCAACGGGAGGCAGCAGUGGGGAUUUUCCGGCAUGGGGCGAAAGCUGGCGGGAGCAACCCGGCGGGAGUAAUGAAGUCCUUGGAUUCGUAAACCUUUGUUAUUAGGGAAGAAAAGAUGUGUAGGUAACGGUGCACAUCUUGACGGUACCAAACCAGAAAGCCCCGGCAACCUCCGU
rnacentral:rRNA from 1 species